rnacentral:rRNA from 1 species
ACCAGCAGCCAUAUCAUCCUGCAACUCCCAGCUGGCAGCCCACUGGAGCUCAGCAGGUGUGAGCCUGGUCAGUACCUGGAUGGGAGACCUCCUGGGGAAAACCUAAGGUUGCUGCUGGAG